CACACUACCACACGUACACCUGCUUCCAACUUCCAAUUCAUCUCUCUAUAUAAACACAUUCAAGUUCCCUAACUGUCCAUAACCAUAAAGCCCUUCACUUCCCAAACAAUCCCGCAAACUAAAUCACGGAACUAAAAUUCCCAUUCUUCAUUCCUAAUCAGUUUCCUUGAAGACGGUUUCUUUCGAGUAUAUAUAUUCUGGGUAGCUUCUUAGCUUCUUUGCUAGGUUCUGUUUUCUUCAUGAUCAUCAGUACUACACUGGGUGGAAACAAAAAGGUCAAGCCUUUAAAGAGUAAUGGGUUUGGAAACGGUGCGUUUCAGCCGGAAAUGAAGGUGGAGAAAAGUACCGACGUUGUCAUUGUCGGUGCCGGAGUUGCCGGUGCUGCUCUUGCUUACACUCUUGCCAAGGAAGGACGUCAUGUACACGUCAUCGAAAGAGACUUGAGUGAGCCAGAUAGAAUUGUUGGUGAGUUGUUGCAGCCUGGAGGUUAUCUCAAGUUGAUUGAGUUGGGUCUUGAGGAGUGUGCAAAUGAGUCAAUUGAUGCUCAGAAGGUGUUUGGUUAUGCUCUUUACAAAGAUGGGAAGGAUACAAAGCUGACUUAUCCCUUGGAAAAAUACAGUUCAGAUGUGGCUGGGAGAAGUUUCCACAAUGGCAGUUUCAUCCAAAGAAUGUGUGAAAAAGCUGCAACUCUCUCAAAUGUGAAAUUGGAACAAGGAUCAGUGACAACACUAAUCGAGGAAAAGGGCAUUGUCAAGAGGAUGAUUUACAAGAACAAGGCUGGAGAGGAGAUGAGAACAUAUGCUCCACUAACAAUUGUGUGCGAUGGCUGCCUUUCAUAUCUGCGCAAAUCUCUUAGUGCACCGAAGGUUGAAAGUCCCUCUUGUUUUGUUGGUUUGAUCUUGGAGAACUGUGAGCUUCCACAUGCAAAUCAUGGACAUGUCAUUUUGGGAGAUCCUUCACUUAUCUUGUUUUAUCCCAUCAGUAGCACAGAAGUUCGCUGUUUGGUGGAUGUACCUGGAACCAAAGUACCUUCAGUAGCUAAUGGUGAAAUGGCUAACUAUUUGAAAACUAUGGUGGCUGCUGAGAUUCCCCCACAGCUGCACAAUGCUUUUAUGGUCACACUAGAGAAAGGAAACAUCAGAACAAUGCAAAACAAAAGCAUGGCUGCUAAUCCUGUCCCCACUCCUGGUGCAAUUUUAUUGGGGGAUGCAUUCAACAUGAGGCAUCCUUUAACAGGAGGAGGGAAUGACUCUGGCUCUUUCAGACCUUGUUCUUCUCCGUGAUCUUCUUAGACCCCUAUGUGAUCUCAAUGACGCACCAGCUUUGUGUAAUUACCUAGAAUCAUUCUAUACACUGCGUAAGGUGCUUUGUACAAGGUGUUUUGUGCAUCACCUGAUUUGGCAAGACAGGAAAUGCGCGAAGCAUGUUUUGGCUAUUUGUGCCUUGGAGAUGAAAAGUUGUUGUGUACUUGUACAAACAUGAUUGAUCUCUGGCUCUGUGGUAAGUGUUUGUGUUUCAAGAACAAACUGGAUUAACAUAAGUACUCCAUUGUUCGAUUGUUAUCUAUUAGAAUUUCACCGAAAGAGAGGAAAUCGUUAAUUAACUCAUUAUUGCAAUCUGCAAAUAUGUGAAUGGUUUAUAUUUGAAAGGUCUUUGCUAGCACUCUUCAAUACUAACAUAUUCCAGCUGGUAGUCACCAAUUUUUCAAGCUAUAGUCCACUUUAUGGAUUGAUUAUCUAGCUAGCAAGUAGCAACUAUUUCCCAGAAAGAGAGAGAGGGAAAAAAAAAACCAACACUAAUUCUACUCAGACAUGCCAAAUAUAUGGAUAAGCAUAGUUAUAUGCAGCACUAGUCACAUUGCUCAUCUAGUCAGAUUACCCGACUUUUAGAGUAAUAUUAUGAGGUUGAAUUAGAAUAAAACCAACUAAUGAAUCCCCAGCUCGUUACCACUAUUUGGGUAGUCAGCACUAGCUUUUCUGGCUAACCACAGGUUCACAAAUUUGUGUUUUUAAUAUAAAAAAGGGCAACCUUGUUACUUCUAAUGUCAUGCUGG